rnacentral:rRNA from 1 species
GAUGAACGCUGGCGGCGUGCCUAAUACAUGCAAGUCGAGCGAACGGACGAGAAGCUUGCUUUUCUGAUGUUAGCGGCGGACGGGUGAGUAACACGUGGAUAACCUACCUAUAAGACUGGGAUAACUUCGGGAAACCGGAGCUAAUACCGGAUAAUAUUUUGAACCGCAUGGUUCAAAAGUGAAAGACGGUCUUGCUGUCACUUAUAGAUGGAUCCGCGCUGCAUUAGCUAGUUGGUAAGGUAACGGCUUACCAAGGCAACGAUGCAUAGCCGACCUGAGAGGGUGAUCGGCCACACUGGAACUGAGACACGGUCCAGACUCCUACGGGAGGCAGCAGUAGGGAAUCUUCCGCAAUGGGCGAAAGCCUGACGGAGCAACGCCGCGUGAGUGAUGAAGGUCUUCGGAUCGUAAAACUCUGUUAUUAGGGAAGAACAUAUGUGUAAGUAACUGUGCACAUCUUGACGGUACCUAAUCAGAAAGCCACGGCUAACUACGUGCCAGCAGCCGCGGUAAUACGUAGGUGGCAAGCGUUAUCCGGAAUUAUUGGGCGUAAAGCGCGCGUAGGCGGUUUUUUAAGUCUGAUGUGAAAGCCCACGGCUCAACCGUGGAGGGUCAUUGGAAACUGGAAAACUUGAGUGCAGAAGAGGAAAGUGGAAUUCCAUGUGUAGCGGUGAAAUGCGCAGAGAUAUGGAGGAACACCAGUGGCGAAGGCGACUUUCUGGUCUGUAACUGACGCUGAUGUGCGAAAGCGUGGGGAUCAAACAGGAUUAGAUACCCUGGUAGUCCACGCCGUAAACGAUGAGUGCUAAGUGUUAGGGGGUUUCCGCCCCUUAGUGCUGCAGCUAACGCAUUAAGCACUCCGCCUGGGGAGUACGACCGCAAGGUUGAAACUCAAAGGAAUUGACGGGGACCCGCACAAGCGGUGGAGCAUGUGGUUUAAUUCGAAGCAACGCGAAGAACCUUACCAAAUCUUGACAUCCUUUGACAACUCUAGAGAUAGAGCCUUCCCCUUCGGGGGACAAAGUGACAGGUGGUGCAUGGUUGUCGUCAGCUCGUGUCGUGAGAUGUUGGGUUAAGUCCCGCAACGAGCGCAACCCUUAAGCUUAGUUGCCAUCAUUAAGUUGGGCACUCUAAGUUGACUGCCGGUGACAAACCGGAGGAAGGUGGGGAUGACGUCAAAUCAUCAUGCCCCUUAUGAUUUGGGCUACACACGUGCUACAAUGGACAAUACAAAGGGCAGCGAAACCGCGAGGUCAAGCAAAUCCUAUAAAGUUGUUCUCAGUUCGGAUUGUAGUCUGCAACUCGACUACAUGAAGCUGGAAUCGCUAGUAAUCGUAGAUCAGCAUGCUACGGUGAAUACGUUCCCGGGUCU